rnacentral:rRNA from 1 species
GACGAACCGUGCAAACGUUGUUCGGAAUCACUGGGCUUAAAGGGCGCGUAGGCGGGCAGGCAAGUCAGAGGUGAAAGCCCACGGCUCAACCGUGGAAGUGCCCCUGAUACUGCUUGUCUGGAGGGAGGUAGGGGCGUGCGGAACUUCCGGUGGAGCGGUGAAAUGCGUAGAUAUCGGAAGGAACACCGGUGGCGAAAGCGGCGCGCUGGACCUCUUCUGACGCUGAGGCGCGAAAGCUAGGGGAGCAAACGGG